UACGAAGGGGGCUAGCGUUGCUCGGAAUCACUGGGCGUAAAGCGCACGUAGGCGGAUUGCUAAGUCAGGGGUGAAAUCCUGGAGCUCAACUCCAGAACUGCCUUUGAUACUGGCAAUCUCGAGUCCGGGAGAGGUGAGUGGAACUGCGAGUGUAGAGGUGAAAUUCGUAGAUGUUCGCAAGAACACCAGUGGCGAAGGCGGCUCACUGGCCCGGUACUGACGCUGAGGUGCGAAAGCGUGGGGAGCAAACAGG
rnacentral:rRNA from 1 species